ensembl:lncRNA novel transcript
GCAGUUUCUCCAUCUGUCAAACGUGUCUCUCUUAGGGCUGUGAGGAUUAAAUGAGUCUACACGGAUGCAGCCCCUGGUACCAUAAUGUUCUAUCACACCUUAAAGAAUGGGGCCUCACUUCUCUCAAACCUUCCCUUCCACAUGCCCUGGGUGAGGAGACAUGGAAUCAGUGACUCAAAGGACAAGUGGCACCAUUGCCACUAUCACUCAGGAGGUGAAUUGAUGCAAAAAUAAGACAGAUCAGAAGCAGGUGAUACGCUGCUAUUCAUAAACCCGUUCAUCCGAAAAUUGAAUGCCUCUCUCCAGACGUCACCCCUAAUGGGUAGCUGUACCUGGGCAUGCUCACCCAGCUUUUGGAUGAAACUCUUCCUCCGAGGGUGACAGGGAGUGGAGAAAUGAUGCUGGCCACGGGACAGGCAUGGAGAGCCUGCCCUUCCAACUUGCUUCUGUGAGUGCUCGUCUGGGGAUCCCUGCAGCACCUCCGACUCACCACGUCCAGGACUCAAUGCACCACCUGCGUCUCCUGUGUUCUCCAGUGCUGAAAACGGCAUCACCAUCCUAACACCCAAGCUUCUCAGUCAUUUUUGAAUCAUCUUCUUCUCUGCAGCCCAUACUUAAUGAACUCUUCAGUCUUGCUGAUUUUAAGGUGCCAACUUCUCAGGCUUUUUCCUCCUCUCCAUUAUCCUGGUGCAAACCCUUGAGAAUGGCCCUUGAGCCCCUGACCUAAGCCCUAGAAAUAGUGCCAUGAGCAAACAUCUACACUCGUUUCUUUCAAAAGACCUUUGCUAAGCCAUGGCUAACAUUUUCAUUUCCGUCAUACCUGGACUGCUGUCGCUGGUCUCUACAACCAAGAGCGCUCUGCACACACUGUUGUUCUGACUCUCUCAAUCACUCCAAAUAUAUAAAAGACUCACUUCCACCCAGACACAUCCCCCCCAUUUGAUACAGUUUGGACCUAUUUCCCUGCCCAAAUAUCACGUCGAAUUGUGGUCCCCAGUGUUGGAGGUGGGGCCUGGUGGGAGGUGAUUGGAUCAUGGCUGCGGAUUUCCCCCUCAGUACUGUCCUCACGAUAGUGUAUGAGUUCAUCUGAGAUCUGGUCAUUUAAUAGUGCGUAGUAUCUGCUCCCUAAUCUCGCUCCUGCUCCAACCAUGUAAGACGGGCCUGCUUCUCCUUCGCCUUUUGCCACGAUUGUAAGUUUCCUGAGGCAGAAGCCCAGGAGCAGAAGCCGCUAUGCUUCCUGUACAGCCUGCAGAACCAUGAGCUCAUCAAACCUUGUUUCUUUAUAAAUUACACAGUCUCAGGUAUUUCCUUACAACUGUGUGAGAAUGCACUAAUACACCCCUCAGGAAGUUUCCCUGUCCUCUAGAAGUGUAACUAUAUCUCAGCUUGGGAGGGCAAGCAGGGAUUAAGGUCCUAUAGGCCCCAAAUGCCCAUAGGCAUGAAUAGCUUUUCUUCCAGCAUUGGAAUAGAUGCAGCAGCUGAAGUGGCUCGCUUCUGUUAGGGCGUGGUUGCACUGGAGGGCCAUGACGUAAUUACUACACUUCAGAGGCAGGUGAAGAGCUGAAACUGACAGAGGAAUGCAGGAUUCUUAUGUUUGAUCUCAUGGUCUCUCCAGAGUGUGGACCCAAGAGUAGCGUGGAAGGUGGAGUGGACAGAAGGGGGCCUGGCCUGCUCUCUGGGCCUGGUUGGAUUUGAAUAAAUUAC